rnacentral:rRNA from 1 species
UGAGUUAGGUGGAUCAGACCCGAAACCGAGUGAUCUAGGCAUGACCAGGCUGAAGGUAAGGUAACACUUACUGGAGGGCCGAACCCACACCUGUUGAAAAAGGUCGGGAUGAGUUGUGCCUAGGGGUGAAAGGCCAAUCAAACUCCGUGAUAGCUGGUUCUCCCCGAAAUGCAUUUAGGUGCAGCGUUGCGUGGUUCUUGUUGGAGGUAGAGCACUGGAUGGUCUAGGGGGCUUAUCGGCUUACCGAAAUCAGCCAAACUCCGAAUGCUGGCAAGUGUAGCGUGGCAGUGAGACGGCGGGGGAUAAGCUUCGUCGUCGAGAGGGAAACAGCCCAGAUCAUCAGCUAAGGCCCCUAAGUGGUGACUCAGUGGGAAAGGAUGUGGAGUUGCGUAGACAACCAGGAGGUUGGCUUGGAAGCAGCCAUCCUUGAAAGAGUGCGUAAUAGCUCACUGGUCAAGUGAUUCCGCGCCGACAAUGUAACGGGGCUCAAGCCAUGUGCCGAAGCUGCGGAUUUGACCGCAAGGUCAAGUGGUAGCGGAGCGUUCCGUAAGCCUGUGAAGGGA